AACGAACGCUGGCGGCAUGCCUAACACAUGCAAGUCGAACGAGACCUUCGGGUCUAGUGGCGCACGGGUGCGUAACGCGUGGGAACCUGCCCUUAGGUUCGGAAUAACUCUCCGAAAGGGGUGCUAAUACCAGAUAAUGUCUUCGGACCAAAGAUUUAUCGCCUUUGGAUGGGCCCGCGUUGGAUUAGCUAGUUGGUAGGGUAAAAGCCUACCAAGGCGACGAUCCAUAGCUGGUCUGAGAGGAUGAUCAGCCACACUGGGACUGAGACACGGCCCAGACUCCUACGGGAGGCAGCAGUGGGGAAUAUUGGACAAUGGGCGAAAGCCUGAUCCAGCAAUGCCGCGUGAGUGAUGAAGGCCUUAGGGUUGUAAAGCUCUUUUACCCGGGAUGAUAAUGACAGUACCGGGAGAAUAAGCUCCGGCUAACUCCGUG
rnacentral:rRNA from 1 species